AAAAACAUGGUUUUUAGAUUUUUUUAAAGAUCAGGCCUGGUCAAAGAAUAUUUUAAAUAGCCGCGGUAGUUUAACUGUGCAAAGGGAGCAUAAUAAUUAGUUUUUUAAUUGAGGUUUGGAAAGAAAGGUUUGACAAGAAAAAAACUUUUUUAAUUUAAAUUAUUUUGAAUUUAAUUUUUAAGUAAAAAAGCUUAAGUAAUGAAGAGGGGCGAUAAGACCCUAUAGAUUUUUAUUAUUAAUUUUUAUAAAAAGUUUUUGUAUUUUUUUUUUUUUAUAAUAAUUAUUAAUUUGGCUGGGGUGGCAGGUAAAAUUUUUAUCUUUAUUUUUUUUUUACAUUCAUUUAUGUUUAUUUUGAUCCAGAAUUUUUGAUUAAAAGAUUAAGAUACCUUAGGGAUAACAGCGUAAUAUAUUUGGAGAGUUCUUAUUGAUAAAUAUGUUUGCGACCUCGAUGUUGGAUUAAAAUUUGUUUGUGGGGUAGGUUUACAAAUCUAGGUCUGUCGA
rnacentral:rRNA from 1 species